CUCGACUCCAUGAAGCUGGAAUCGCUAGUAAUCGCGCAUCAGCCAUGGCGCGGUGAAUACGUUCCCGGGCCUUGUACACACCGCCCGUCAAGCCAUGGAAGCUGGGGGUGCCUGAAGUCGGUCACCGCAAGGAGCUGCCUAGGGUAAAACCAGUAACUGGGGCUAAGUCGUAACAAGGUAGCCGUACCGGAAGGUGCGGCUGGAUCACCUCCUU
rnacentral:rRNA from 14 species